AUGGUGAGUUAUUGGUCCCCGGAGCGCACAGUUAGGACCCGACCUUCCCUCAAACAGCCACAAGAAGAAAUUCCGCUCCGCUUUAAUCAUCUAGAGUUUAAGCACAAACGACAGGAGUUGUAUGAGAACGUGUUGGAAUCGAAAUCCGCGCACCUUUCAGUGAUGGAGAUGGCUAAACUUGGUCUUCUGCUGCUGCCGCUGCUUCUGUCUCAUGUUUUCAGCCAAGAAACGGAGCUGGGGCCGUGUAGGAGAGAACCAGAGGAGGUGAGACUGGCGGACCAUGCUGUCAUCUUUCUACCACUGCACAGCCAAUUUAAAGACAUAAAAUCAAAUAUUAAGGCAAUGUUGGUUUACAAUUAUUUUCAACGCCAAAAGACGAAAUGGCCAAACUCGGAGGAUCUUCAGAGAGUUUUACUGAGGGUGGCCAGAAAACCCAAACUGUGCCGGUGUUUUACCGGACAGACCGGGAGGAAACCAACCAGUAAAACACAGACAGCAGGACAACGAAUUGGGCAUACAUUUCACACUUUCGUGGGCCUGAUGGGUAAAAGGCUCGAUGAUCAAGGUAUGCCAACCAUGUCUUAUUUUCUGCCUAUAUCUACCUGGUAA
rnacentral:lncRNA from 1 species